rnacentral:hammerhead_ribozyme from 1 species
AUCCAGCUGAUGAGUCCCAAAUAGGACCAGACGUACGUCUUGGAU